ensembl:lncRNA
GAACUUUCAUGGCUUGCAAAACAACAAUUGUCUUUAAUAUGUAAUAAGAUUGCGUGCAAAAAAUCCUGUAUCAACAAUUCUUAAUUAACUAGCUUGCCACUGUGGCCCCUUACUGAAUCCCAUUAGUAGUUUUUUUUUUAAUGUAACAAAUAACUAAAACACACACAAAGGUUGCUGUGUUAGGAAACUGACAAUAAUAAAAAAGCAAGACAUAGAAUUUAAAGAGGAGUAGUUUUAUAUCUCUCGGCUGGCCUGGGAACGCCUUGGUGUUCCCCCGGAUAAGCUGGAGGAGGUGGCUGGGGAGAGGGAGGUCUGGUCCUCUUUGCUUAGGCUGCUGCCCCCGCGACCCGGCCUCGGAUAAAGCGGAUGAGGAUGGAUGGAUGGAUGGAUAGUUUUAAGACAUAAGAACAUGCAUAAUGGUAUCAUGAGUUGAAAGUUGUUGUAUUUUUUUUUUUCUUUUUGCCUGUCCCGUUUGGCUCUUUUGCCAUCAGAAUUGUUGUCUAAAGGCAAAGAAAGAUGCCCAACGGAUUUACUUUACCAAAUUGACCAUCCCAGCCUUGCCAUAAUGGUCCAUUUGAUUCACCUUUUAUUGUUUAUUUUAUUUUCACUUACUGAACAUGGGACAGACUUGACUGGGGGAAAGAAGGGGAGAAAGAAAGAGGGAAAGAGAAACAGCUGAGAAGAGGGACGGGGGAGAAGGGCAAAAACCAAUAACCAACAGAAUGAGCAGAAAAAGAAAAAAAAGAAGAAAAAAGAAAAAAAAAUGCAUAUAUCAAUCACCUGGAUCACCUGCUGAGAAAGAAAAAAGAAAACAAGGAGAAGAGAACAAGAGUAAUAGAAUAAACAACAUCACAAUGAUAUAUGGGAAUAUGACAGUAAAUACUAAAUAUUAAACAUUAUUGUGCAGCACAUAAGAUCAACAGAACACAGUGUGCUUUGAGGUAGGAGCCAAAAAGGGUGUAGUUUGUGGGUGUGAUCACCCGUGUGUACACCUGUGAGCAUGGACGCGCUUGUUUUUUGUUUUUUAAAAGGUUCCUUCAUGUAAUGAUCUGCUAGAGGGUGUGGGGGGGCCACAGCCCCAUCCUCCAGGGCAUGAAGCAGGUAUGGAGGAGAUCAAAACUCCAGACAUCCAGAGGCCCCCAGAACACAAGAGACCAAGGAAGACCAACAGAGGGGCAGCCGCGCCACUGUCCCAGAAAGAGCUGAGGAGAGUCCCAGAUGAGGGCUCACUCAGCAGCCGCGGAGCAGAAGCCAGGGGGAGUUGCAGUGACGCGCCCGUGAGCUCCGCCGGCAGCCAGCCGUGCCUGAGUGACCGAGCCCCAGGCCGAGAGGCCGGGGGCACCCCACCUCCGAAGUGGCCCGAGC